AUGCAUCAUAUACCAAAUCAUAUCAUUCAUAUAAUUUAUAUGCAUGGCAUUUCAAAACUCAUUUCAUAAUGCAUUUCAUUUAACUCGAUUUCUGGGAAAAUCAAUAGUAUAUAGAUAUAUAUAGAAAACAAAUGCCCACUCACCUGGGGUCCGCGCUACGACUCCCUAACAUCAGAACAAAGGCGUCCCGAACGCUCGGCUCCUAAAACAGUUAUCAAACCACGUCUCAUAACUCUUAUCCAUAGAAUAUGAAAUUCACAUAACACAUAGCCACAAGCGCAUUCAAGAAUAAUGCGAGACCCUUUGAUCAAAGGUCAACCGUCAACUAAGUUCGACGGUAGGGUCAUAACCCCACAUAACUCAGUCUGAAAGAUCCACAACUCAGAUUUCCGAUCCAUCACUCCCCAACAUACACAUUAAGCUUCUAGAACAAUAUACUAAAAUUUCGUUACGAUCCGAUGGUUGGAUAUCCGCCAAUUUCCAAGACUAAGUGGCAGUUAACCUUUUAUUUUAUGAACUUACAAAUCCAAUUCGGGAAGAUCCGUCCAUCGAAUUCCCAAUCCGUAAGUUCCUACAUUCUUCAAAUAUUAUGUACUACUAUAUAUCAAAGUUUGGUGAAGAUCCGACGGUUGGAUCUUCGAUUCACCUUUUGGCCUAACCAUGAAUCAUAUCGAAUUUAAGUCCAAAUGAUCAACCAACGACAAACCACUAUCAAACUGAAUUCAGGAUAUCAAACAUAGCCUAAAAAUAACAUUGACGGUCCACUGGCCAUGCGCCGCCGUGGGUGGCGGUCGGCCGCCUCGGCUCGCCGGAAAAUUCAACUAUUUCCAAAAAUUACCAAAAUUUACAAAAAAUGAAGAUCUCAAUGAGUAGAGCAACUUUCAUACCUGUGGCCAAGGCCAAUUCGGUCGGCAAGGCCUCCAAUUUCAACAAAACCCGUCGGAAACCCUAGGUUUUGGGUGUGCUCAACCCGUCCUCAAAUCAACCCCGCCGUCCCAACCAUUGCUUGGGCUUUGUUCUAGGCCUCAAGAGGAUGCCAUGGGUGGUGGCAAUUGAAAGAAAUCAUUUCAGAAUUGAGAGAAUCGAAGGCUAGG
rnacentral:lncRNA from 1 species